rnacentral:rRNA from 1 species
UACGAAGGGGGCUAGCGUUGCUCGGAAUUACUGGGCGUAAAGGGCGCGUAGGCGGACAGUUUAGUCAGAGGUGAAAGCCCAGGGCUCAACCUUGGAAUUGCCUUUGAUACUGAUUGUCUUGAGUUCGGGAGAGGUGAGUGGAAUGCCGAGUGUAGAGGUGAAAUUCGUAGAUAUUCGGCGGAACACCAGUGGCGAAGGCGACUCACUGGCCCGAUACUGACGCUGAGGCGCGAAAGCGUGGGGAGCAAACAGG